GACAUACGUAAGAAAUCUGCAUUACUGGAUUAUUAGUACACUGUAUAAUUAAAAUUUCUACCUGGUUACAUGUUAGGUAUAGGGGCAUUCAAAUAAGUAAUUUUUUAGAACAAUCAAAUUAUAAUAAAACCGUUUUAAAAAUGAGUGGCUUUAAGUAUUUGGAUGUUAUUUAAUAAAGAUGCCGAAUUUAUUGUAUUUUUUUAGCCAAGAUUAUAGGGCACAUCAGUAUGGAAGAGACAUAAAAUAUGCCACCCGGCUGGGUGCAGUGGCUCACACUUGUAAUUCCAGCACUUUCAGAGGCUGAGGCAGGCCGAUCAUUUGAUCCCAGGAGUCCGAGAGCAGCCUGGACAACAUGGCGAAACCCCAUGUCUACAAAAAAAUACAAAAAUUAGCCUCAGCUACUCAAGAGGCUGAGGUGGGAAGAUCAUCUGAGCCUGGGAGGUUGAGGCUGCAUGAGCUGCAGAUCAUGCCACUGCACUCCAGCCUAGGUGACAGAGAGAGAGCUUGUCUCCAAAACAAAACAAAACAAAAAACCCAAAAGACAAAAGACAAAUACAUCGCCCAAGGAGCCAAGGAGUCAAGGAGCAGGGUUAUUUAUCCUGAUGUCAUUGCAGUCAUGACAAAAAUCCAGUCAGUGACCCUCACCUGUAGUGUCCGUCGGCCCCAAGCUCAGAUCCCCACAUGUCCAGGAUAGAAGGAAUUCCGGUUUGACAACUGGGGAGACAGCCUCAUCACAAAUCCUGCACUAUAGGCACCUUAAGACCAAAGAAAGUUGUUAACAGA
rnacentral:lncRNA from 1 species